rnacentral:lncRNA from 1 species
CUUAGUAGUAAGGGGAAAGAUGUCCUUUUCCUCAUCAGGAGAACCAACUAGCUCUGCUCUUAAUGGAUCCUGACAUUUUAAACUCAGGAACAGACUAGAGAACUCUGCUGUCUCAGAAAACAAAGCUUCAGCCUUCAAAAUGAAGUUUCUCACUGAGUCUCAGAGUAGGUUUGCUUUCAGGAGGAACUCUCCCUGCCCAUCUAUUAACAACCUCAAAAAUAAGACUUGGAGCUAAUCACCAUAGAUAAGGCCACUUAUGCCACUCUAGAAUACCAGAGCCAGUUCAAUACUACAAAGAGGGCCCAGCACCCCAGGAGGCUUCUUGCCUGAAUAAAAGCUGAGAAGUGUCAAGGGCUCAUCAGAUUUGAAAUGUGAAGCACAGAGAAAAUCCAAAUGUCUUAAGGCUGACAGCAGAGAAGCAGUAAUAUACCUAAAGGUAGGGUGUGUGUGUGUGUGUGUGUGUGUGUGUGUGUGUGCAUGUGUGUGCAUGUGUGUGUGAAUUCAUAAUAGCAAAGACAACAAUGGGAAAUUGAGUCAUAAAUCUGGUCAUUUUACCUGGCAAUAACAAUUCCCUUGAGUACAGAUGCACAGUGAAAACAGGCCAGAGCACAUGUGAUAGCAUUUCCAACAAAUGCAGGACAAAAACAGUUUUUAUCUCAAGACAGGACCUAACCUGACCACUGAAGACUAGUGGCAAAUGAUACCCAGGACUGUUGCAUAGUGGGGCUUCAUGGACAGCACCAUCUUCCCAGGCACAGGAACAGAAAUUCCUACACAGCUCUCACCAAAAUUUUUAAUCAGUGAAAAAAAUAUCAUAGUCUUGGAAAGAAAGAGGGACCUAAGAACAUUCAGACCCAAGACUCCUGAAUUUCAGAGAAAUCAGCCAAGAGUAGAAGAAAAAGAAGCAAGAGAUGAUUCGGCCACAGACCAACCAGCAAAGAUCCAAUUGCAUUUGAUGGUUUCAGAUUCUGACUCUAAAAGGUCUGUCCGCGUGUCCCUAAGGUCAUAUCUGCAUGAGAGCCAUCACUUGGGGCCCAUUUAAACUAAGGUCCUGGUUUAUGUACAGCAGUCAGAAUCAUCAUGACCAUCACUCACUGGCUUACCUCCGAACACUUCCUCCUCUCCACGCAUGAAUCUCCAGAUAAAGUGGCAGAUGCUCCCAACUUCUCUAUCAAAGGAGGGACUCAAGCUCCCCGUCUAAAGCCACGCCUUCACGCGAUGACUGACGCCUGCAAUUUCCUCUCUCAGCUUCCCUUCCCUCCAUCUACAGUGGCUCCCCCUCCUCCAGUACAGCACACCUGUCCUCACACGUGAGCCUCUCACCUGCAUCAAGUCCAGGUCCCACAAACCUACACCAAGGCCAAGGAUUCGGUUCUACACAGACUGAGCCAAGAGAAGAUAGUCAAUAUUUCGAUACAAAAUAAAUGGCAGGAGUUUAGAUGAGCAGGUGUUUAGCUUUGUUUUUAAAUAUUCCUUCUUCUUUUGCCCUAUGUUUCCUUGGAGAAGUAUCACCAG